UAUUGCUAUUGGUUAAACAUUUAUUGGUAAUUUCCCAUGUGAGAUUCAUUGUUCUAACCUUCUGUAUAUAUGUAUUGACUCAGUUCAUCUCCUGACCAUGUAAUAAAGUAAAUACUAUUGUUAACUUCAUUUUACAGAUGGGGAAAUCGAAGCACAGGAAGGUUAAGGAAAUUGCCCAAGGCAAUUGGAAGUUCCAGCUUGGAAGUGGCAGAGCCAAGUUUGAACCCAGGCAGUCUGUCUCCUCUUAGCUGUUCUGACAAACUGCAUCUGUCCACUUCAGGAACCAAACUGAUUCACUGAUGUGCUCUUCUUUCGCUAGACAGCAGAGUCGUCUUCCUUGUGGCUUUCAGCUGCCUCGCCAUCGUUCUCCUCUUCCUCGCCAUCUUCUUCAUCUACAGGUGCACUCAGCAUGAUGCAGCUUUAACCAAGCAAGAAAGGACAUCCCUCUCAGCUGAAGACCCCCAGGAAGAGACCGAUGCCGAGCUGGAUGCAAGAGCCACGUCUGAGGCAGCCUCUGCGCCACUGAGGAGCCCCCAGGAUCUUGGGGAUAUGCAACCCUGAACAGGUCGAAGUUGGACAGCAGGAGCCAGUGGAGCGAGGAGCGACGGAAUCCAGACGGCCUCCAUGACUGGAAACACGGAAAUCUAGAUGUCUCUGUGUCCCUCACUCACAGUCCGUAUUAAUAAAAUUCAGUUCCUCUC
rnacentral:lncRNA from 1 species